CAGGGAGCACAUAACUGGGAGGCACUUUAUAACACCACUGAUGAAGAAGCAAAUGAGAGGCAGCAGGAGGGAUCCACACAAGGGCUGAAACGAGAGACUCACUUAGUCACCAGAGGUGGACUGUUCAGGUCCAGAAAAGUUGACAUCCAGACCAAGAUUUCGUUUCAACCAACCAGCUCUGCCAGUCACAAAGAACUGCACCAUGUCCUUGGGGUAGUCAGAGCGUCCUGUCUCCAUGAAUGGUAAAGCAGCAGGAACUCGAGCUAGCGGCCACAGAG